ACCGUCAGGUCGCCGGCCGAGAGCAGUGCCAGCAGGCGCAGGCGC
rnacentral:sRNA from 1 species